rnacentral:rRNA from 1 species
AGAUAGUAAGGUGGCGGACGGGUGAGUAACACGUAAAGACUUGCCCUGCAGUCUGGGACAACUAUUGGAAACGAUAGCUAAUACCGGAUAUUGCCGCAUGGCGAAAGCUAUAUGCGCUGCAGGAGAGCUUUGCGUCCCAUUAGUUAGUUGGUGAGGUAACGGCUCACCAAGACCGCGAUGGGUAGCCGGCCUGAGAGGGUGAACGGCCCAAGGGGACUGAGACACGGCCCUUACUCCUACGGGAAGCAGCAGUGGGGAAUAUUGGACAAUGGACCAAAGUCUGAUCCAGCAAUUCUGUGUGCACGAUGACGGUCUUAGGAUUGUAAAGUGCUUUCA